rnacentral:rRNA from 1 species
GACGAACGCUGGCGGCGUGCUUAACACAUGCAAGUCGAACGAUGAAGUUCCUUCGGGAAUGGAUUAGUGGCGAACGGGUGAGGAACACGUGAGAAACCUGCCUUUCAUUUUGGGAUAACUCCGGGAAACCGGGGCUAAAACCGAAUACUCCGUCUCGGCGGCAUUGCUGAGCCGGGAAAAAAUUUUGAUGAAAGAUGGUCUCGCGGCCUAUCAGCUAGUUGGUGAGGUAAUGGCUCACCAAGGCAACGACGGGUAGCCGGCCGUGAGAGGGCGACCGGUCACACUGGGACUGAGACACGGCCCAGACUCCUACGGGAGGCAGCAGUGGGGAAUAUUGGGCAAUGGGCGCAAGCCUGACCCAGCGACGCCGCGUGAGGGAUGAAGGCCUUCGGGUUGUAAACCUCUUUCAGUAGGGAAGAAGCGAAAGUGACGGUACCUAAAGAAGAAGCACCGGCUAACUAUGUGCCAGCCGCCGCAGUAA